CACAUUUUGUUUUCAGAAAAAAAAGCUUCAUAUUCUAAAAUCAAAUUUCCUUUCCACAUUUUUUUUGAGUCCGAGAGAAACUUAAAAAUGGUGAAACGCAAAAACCCAAACUCGAUGAUCUUCGUACGAAGCUGUUGAAGAUCUUUCAUCAUCACCGACAACUGAAAACUUCAUUCCACACUCUCAAAUCUUCGAUUAAGACGUGCUUACUCGAUGUAAUUUCUAAAAUUUCCCUAAAAAUUCUUUUUAGUUUCUAGGGUAUGAUUUUUUUUUUUGAUAGAUUUUCCUGAAGAUGUAUUUACUUCACCAUCGAUUCCUUUAAUGAAACUCGUUGGUUUGAAGACUGAAGAAAUGGCUGAACAAGGAAGAUCCUCUAAUUUUUACAUGGAAUCUGAUUCGACGGUGUGAAGGAUUUGAUACAAGAAUUGGUCAACAGAUGUGUAAUCCAAUGGUGGAUUAUGUGCAAGGAAUUAAGGCUGAAAUCGCAACAGGUGGUGCAUUGAAAAAACUAAUUGAUGUUGUGAGUGAGAUGGACAGAGUGAUUUUAGAUGGAAGAUUAAAACUUGCAAAGGCAAAGAAGGAGGCGAGAAUUGAACAGGCGAGGAUGGUCGAGGCUUUGAGUAGAUUAAAAGAAACAGAGGAGAAGAGAUUAGCUCUGAAUGAGUUGUUUGGGUUUCUUUUGAAGGCCAAGAAUACUCAAAGGAACCUUCAUUACUUCAACAUAAGAUGGCACUCCGGUCAAAGGCAGGCCACCACUCAGUUGCGCGUCUGAGAGGUGCUAUGGAAGACGGAAAAGGCAGGCCACUUCUCAGUUGCGUGGCUGAGAGGUGCAAAGGAAGAUGGCAAAGGCAGACCACCACGCAGUUCUGUGACUGAGAGGUGGAAAGGAUGGCGACGAAGUUCCAAAGACAGAGAGGCACAAAGAUGUGUGCUAAAUGGGAGUCUCACUGACCGGCUUAGCUUCUAUAUCCCAUAUAGUUCAACGAUCAUUAUUGGAACACAGCUAAGUGAUGUUGUCUUUCUCUUUGUUUUCUUGAUUUCUGAUCCCUAUAUAAUUCACCUACAACUAAUGGAACACAGUAGUAGGGUUUCAGACAAAGUAGGGUUUCAGACUUAGAUAGUUUUUUCUCCUCGAUCAUGGAAGGUAACUCAUGGAGGGUCUUGUGGUGGAUAGAAUGGGCUACUUUACGUUUCUCUAUUCUUCCUUCAUUUGAGCAAUCGUUUUGCAACCCAUCAGGAGAUAGAACCAUAUACUUGUCUGAUUAAUCUGAGCCACCUCUUUCGAAAACUUACUUAAGAAUUGUGUUAAAGUCACGUGUUUUAACAUUUGUAGGCAAGUUUUUUUUUUCUAUCAAUCAUAAGUUGAGCAUGUUUAACUUCAACACUACAUUUACUGUAUUUCUGCAGAAAGUUCUUACUGGUUUGAGAUGCAAAGGAAGAGUUGAAAACCUUGCUAGCUACUUCAGACAUAGAGGGGUUGCUGCUGCUGCUUGAAAGAAAGCCAUGGCGUAGCGAACCCUAUGCAACUACUCUGGAUUUUGAUGGCACUCUGGUCAAAGGCACACCACUCGUUCCGGAGACUUAAAGAGGUGCAAAGGCAGGCAACCUCUUGGUUCCGUGACUGAGGGGUGCAAAGGAAGACUGCAAAAGCAGGCCACUUCUCAGUUCCACGACUAAGAGGUGCAAAGGAAGACGGCAAAGGCAGCUAACUGCUCGGUUCCACGACUGCUCUUGCUGGAUAUGUUGGAUAUUCAGAUGGCCCUCCUGUCAAAUGCAGACCACCACUCAGUUUCGCGACUGAGAGGUACAAUACUACCCAGUUCCACGACUGUGUGGUACCAAGGAAGAUGGUGAUGGCAGACCACCACUCAAUUACUAGACUAAGAGGUGCGAAGGAAGAAAAUUACCCUGAAGGUGUUCAUGCUGAGUCCAUUAGUAAACUCUAUAAUCUCCAAACUCUCACCAUUUAACUAUUGAAAGACCUUUAAAAAAUUCUCAACCAGAUUUGUUCUUAGAUUAAUUUGCAACAUCUGGAUUUCUUGAGUUCAUACGCCAAGUCUCUACCUGAUUCUAUCACGAUGGUCACCAAUUUGCAGACCUUAAAUAUCAGGUGUUGUAGACACGUCUGUUUCUUGCCACAAACAUUGGUCAACUCGGAGAUGUAUCAUCCCUUGACAUUUCACUUACCUACAAAUGUCUCAGAGUUACAAUAUCUGGCCUCAAUAAUUUAGUGAAGUUCAACCUCAUCGAUUGUGAUCAAUUAGAAGCACAUGUCGUAUUGCAUUAAGUUGGAAAAGGGAGGCUAUGGAAACAAUUAGUAAUGAUUCUGAUCCAAACAAAUGGAAAAAAUCCUAAUCCAGAAGGCAAAAAUCUAAAUUGUGCCUUUGACCGACUUUGACUAUAUUGAAACAGAAAAAACAUGAUCCAGAUUCCAGACGAUAGCAUACAACUAUGUCUCAUUUUGUGUCUGGAAAUGAUAUACUGGACCAUUUCUCGUCUGUUUUGGUCGGUCUAAUUCCGUCAACCAGCAGUAUUGACCGAAGGAUAAUAAAGCCAUGGAAAAUCAGACCUUCCCGCGGAGAGUUCAACUAUGUAGAAUUUUGGCGGGGUUUUGCCUUACAAGGCCAAAGAACAAACCCGAAUGUCGAUAUUUUUCAUACCAAAGACGGUCAAUUUUCUUUUUAUUUUUCUUUAUUUCUAAAUAGAUGAGAAACCUUACAGAAAUUUGUAGAUAGAACUAAAAAGGAGCUGAGCAAGCAAGAGGAGGUUUUAAAGAGUCAGCUGAUCAGAGGAGUAUUUCCUUCAAUUCAUAUCAAGAUAGAUAUGACAAAUAGCGGGAAUUAUAAGAGAAACAAGAAGAAGAGGGCAAAAUUAAUGAAAGAGAAGGCGAAAGCAGUAAUGGGCUGAACAGAAUCAAAACUUCAUUCAUCCAGCCAGUAUGAAAUCACACUAAAGAUAGGCAAAGAGAGACGACAAAAGUUCUCUUCGGUUUCUUUUUUCGAAAUUAAAGUUGGCAUCCACAUAGGAGUCAUGAAGGUUGUCAAUCUUUUGAACAUGAUGAUUGUCGUCAGAGAUCAAGGUCUCCUCGAGUUUGCAGCCGCGGUCUUGUGACUCCAACUUGGACGAUUGUGGUGAAGGGGUUGCCAAAAGAGACGACUGAGGAAAAUAUUCAUCAGAUCCUAGCAGAAUGGAGGCCCCCUUCGUAAUGUUCGAGUCAUGCUGUGGAAGCGGCUCGAAAGAUGAUGGAUGAAAUUGGAGAUUGUGGCCUCGAUGUUAAUGGGCGAAAGCUGUCUUUCGAGUACAGGUACAUGUUUUGAACAAAAGGUCUUAAUUAGUUCUCAACUUCUGGAUUGGUUAUAAAGAAUCUCAACCUGUUCAAGUCACAAGAGCUUUAGAAUAUGUGGUCUGCAGCCUUGAACCUGAAUCUCUUUCUAUAUGUUUAUGUGCAUCGUUAAUUCACGAAUGAUCUAAGAAAGUCGGCGUUGUUCACAGAAUAGGUGAAAUAUUUGAAUUGGCUAGUGAAGAUCCGAUUGGGGAUGAACCAUAUAAUAUGAAUCUCAUUCAGCCGAGAACAAUGGUGUCUUAUUUUCCCUUGUAGGUUGGUAAACAAAUGAAUCAUAUGUUCUUCAACGAAUAUCGAAAGUCAGUCGUAUGAUAAUGUAUUUACUUAUGCAGACAACUAUAAUAAGUACACUAUCUUUGAACUAUGAUUUUGGGCAUACCAAAAUUUUCAAGGCACAUACUGAAUGAAGACAAAAAAG